rnacentral:sRNA from 1 species
CUAUUGUACAACAGCCAUUUUUCGAGUUUUCGUGGUCUGGAUAACAACGCAGUAGAAACGCCGUGGGAGCGCGGUUCAAACGCAGAAGAAACGUCACGAGAGCGCGAUGAACGCAGCAACAGCUCUUUGGGGUCGCUGUGUGAGCGCAGCCAAAUGGAAAGCAACUUGUUCAAACGCUGUGGAUGCGCAGUGAGAGCGCGAUAGAGACGCAGUGAGAUCCCAAAGGAGUCCGUAAGGUCUCCGUGCAAGCGCAAUUGACUUAUCACUGCGUCUACACUGCGAUUAGCUGCGUUCCUUGAGCGCGCCGACGGAGCUCUCGUGGCGCUGUUGGAGAUCUUAUGGCGCUGUCACGGCGACCUCACUACGCUUCUACGGCGUGUUUAUCAGAACGCCGAGCCACGGCGCGUACUUUGUGCAUGUUCAAAGUGCGCGCCGUCGCAUGGCGUUCUUCAAUGUUCAAGGCGAUUCCACCGCGAUGGACGAAGAUGCCGUUGCAUUCUUACGGCGCUCUAGGAGACUCUACUGCGUUUACCUUGGCGUUUUACAUUAUUUAAGGACGCGGCGGGAUCGCCGUGAGGACGCAGCUCCGGUGUGACAGGGGUUUAACAGUACAUGAAACAUAGCAGUACCUUUUGUCCAAUUAAGGUGCAGUGUUUUUUGUGAUGUUUAUUAGCUGAUAUAGCACUGAUGUCAUUUAUUGAUAUUUGUGAUCAUUACUUUAUCAAAGGAGUUCUGUUGUCUUCAUACAGAUUAAAUAUUUCGUCU